GACGAACGCUGGCGGCGUGCUUAACACAUGCAAGUCGAACGGAAAGGCCCUGCUUGCAGGGUACUCGAGUGGCGAGCGGGUGAGUAACACGUGGGUGAUCUGCCCUGCACUUCGGGAUAAGCCUGGGAAACUGGGUCUAAUACCGGAUAGGAGCCAUUUUUAGUGUGAUGGUUGGAAAGUUUUUUCGGUGUAGGAUGAGCUCGCGGCCUAUCAGCUUGUUGGUGGGGUAAUGGCCUACCAAGGCGGCGACGGGUAGCCGGCCUGAGAGGGUGGACGGCCACAUUGGGACUGAGAUACGGCCCAGACUCCUACGGGAGGCAGCAGUGGGGAAUAUUGCACAAUGGGCGCAAGCCUGAUGCAGCGACGCCGCGUGGGGGAUGACGGCCUUCGGGUUGUAAACUCCUUUCGCUAGGGACGAAGCCUUUUGUGACGGUACCUAGAUAAGAAGCACCGGCUAACUACGUG
rnacentral:rRNA from 1 species